UACGUAGGGUGCGAGCGUUGUCCGGAAUUAUUGGGCGUAAAGAGCUCGUAGGCGGUCUGUCGCGUCGAAUGUGAAAACCCGGGGCUCAACUCCGGGCUUGCAUUCGAUACGGGCAGGCUAGAGUUCGGUAGGGGAGUCUGGAAUUCCUGGUGUAGCGGUGAAAUGCGCAGAUAUCAGGAGGAACACCGGUGGCGAAGGCGGCCGCCUGGACCUGACCUGACGCUGAGGCGCGAAGGCGCGGGGAGCGAACGGG
rnacentral:rRNA from 1 species